CAAUAGCGUAUAUUAAAGUUGUUGCGGUUAAAAAGCUCGUAGUUGGAUUUCUGCUGAGAACGACCGGUCCGCCCUUUGGGUGUGUAUCUGGCUCUUUCUUGGCAUCUUCUUGGUGAACGUUGCUGCACUUGACUGUGUGGAGCGCUACCCAGGACUUUUACUUUGAGGAAAUUAGAGUGUUUCAAGCAGGCAUACGCCUUGAAUACAUUAGCAUGGAAUAAUAAGAUAGGACCUCGGUUCUAUUUUGUUGGUUUCUAGAGCUGAGGUAAUGAUUAAUAGGGAUAGUUGGGGGCAUUCGUAUUUAACUGUCAGAGGUGAAAUUCUUGGACUUGUUAAAGACGGACUACUGCGAAAGCAUUUGCCAAGGAUGUUUUCAUUGA
rnacentral:rRNA from 1 species